UACGUACGGAGCAAGCGUUGUCCGGAAUCAUUGGGCGUAAAGCGCGCGUAGGCGGCCCCGUAAGUCCGCUGUGAAAGUCAAAGGCUCAACCUUUGAAAGCCGGUGGAUACUGUGGGGCUAGAGUCCGGAAGAGGCGAGUGGAAUUCCUGGUGUAGCGGUGGAAUGCGCAGAUAUCAGGAGGAACACCAAUAGCGAAGGCAGCUCGCUGGGACGGUACUGACGCUAAGGCGCGAAAGCGUGGGGAGCGAACAGG
rnacentral:rRNA from 1 species